AAGGCCCUAGCUUAAUUAAAGCACUUGAGUUGCAUUUAGGAGAUGUAGGCUAAUGUCCUACGGGUCUUA
rnacentral:tRNA from 1 species